rnacentral:lncRNA from 1 species
CCUGCAAAGGGAGAAUAAAUAUUUUGUAGAAUAUUAAAUUACAGUAAUAAAAUUCAAUUAAACAAUGCUUUAAUUUUUACCAUCAUCUAUGAGAAAUUCUAAACAUUGCCCGAGAUAAAUGUUUCUACCUGCUGCUGUAAACAUCUCCCAACUCUCACCUUCUUGGUAUGUCCUUGUUACUUCUAGCAAAGUUACCUGAAGUGAGACAAAAUAGCAUUCUGAUGCUGGGGCAGCAAGAAAGAGAUGGUGUUUAUUAAAAGUUUUUCUAUUCUGCUUGGAGAAAUCUAUUAAUGCUUGAGUUGUGAAGAAUUGUACCUGUGGUUAGAGUAAAUGAAAAAUGAAUCAAGAAACUUCAUUAUAGAUAGUUUUCCCAUAGAGAUUUUCAAUAUUAUGGAGUUUUAAUGAAGGAAUUAAAUGCAGGUUGAACUAGUGUCUAACAACCUCACAGAAUGUCACCUGACUGAUGGUGAAUCAUAGUCACUAUUUGGUAAUUUAAAUGUAAAACUAUUAUUACCUGUGUAAAGAAUAGUACUUCAGAAAGCAAACCCUUAAAUAGGUCGGAACCCUAAUGUGUAUGCAUUUAUUUUACUUAGCAGGGGAUUGAAAGGAAAAUAUAACAUUAAAACACAUUCUGAAAGUGAGAUGCAAAUUGUAACCAUUUUAUGAAAUUGAAGCUCAAGACCCAUUGUUAUAAUACUUUGGGUUACAUACAGAUUUUGGAUACCUGGGUGCUCUGAAUCCACUUUAAAAUAUAUAGGUUAAUUAGAGGUUACAUAUCUUAGAAAAAUGUCUAUUUUAAAGUACCUUUGAAAGAAGUGAAAGUAAUACAUGAAAUUCAAUUUUAAUGUAACAUUUAAGCUUUUGAGUUCUCUUAGCUACUUAUUUUCAUUACAAAUCUACAAAAAUCUAAUGCUUAUGCAAAAUUACACUGAAUAUAGGUUUAUUACAUGUCAUUAGUUUCUGGAUCUAAUUCUGAAUUCCUUCAGGGGAAAAUUAGAUUGUUAAAAUCAAAUAGAAAAUAAUGUAUUCUUGAUUAAGAAAGCAAUUUUAAGAUAUCCCCCAAAUUCCUGAAACUAGUGGUCUGUGUUUGAAAGGCAUUCCUCUCAUACAGGGCCUUAAGCAAGACAUUGACCAGUAAUAGGAACGUGUCUUCUAUUGUGCUUAAAGCUCCUGGUCUCCAGGAGAGCCAGACUUGUCCACAGUACAAUUUAAAGUCCCCUGAAGAGCUGGUCCUCAGUAAGUACAGUAAGCAGGGAACACUCUCGUAGAAGCUGCUUUCCUGUCGUUGCUCAGUGGUUAACGAAUCCGACUAGGAACCAUGAGGUUUUGGGUUCGAUCCCUGGCCUUACUCAGUGGGUUAAGGAUCUGGCGUUGCCGUGAGCUGUGGAUAGGUUUCAGACGUGGCUCAGAUCUCACCUUGCUGGGGCUGUGGCGUAGGCCUGCGGCUACAGCUCCGAUUGGACCCCUAGCCUGGGAACCUCCAUAUGCCAGGGAGUGGCCCUAGAAAAGGCAAAAAGACAAAAACAAAAACAAAACACACACACACAAAGUUGCUUUUUCUUGUCAGAAGAGUUGGGUGUUUUGAGGGAAAUUGAGACUGUACCAAAGUACUGGAAACAAGUAAGUUUGGCAACCAGGAACAACCAAUUUUAGAAAUAUCUAGUAAAUUUAGGAUUUAUCGACAAAAAAGUUUGGGUUCAAGCUGCACUCUCCUUCAUAUACAUUUCAAACAAUUGGCCAUAUAACUAUUUACUUCGUGGAAGGGAACAUUGCCUGAAGAACCUGUGGGUCCU